CGCAGGACAUCCCUAUUGACAUCGGAGAAGUGAACGUGAAAUACUGGCAGUGAGGAAUGGGCAAGGCCUUGGCCAUACUUGAGAGAAAGAGCUUUGAAGGGAGACUGCAGGCAGACAUCUGCUGCAUUGCAAGCGAUGGGGCAGUGGGGAGAGAGAAGAAAAUGAGGGAGGGAACAUUAGGCCACAUUAGGUGCACCACUGGAACUGCUAUGAAGUCACUUUAAACAGGCAUGGCUUCCCCUCAGGGAUUCUGGGAACUGUAGGUGGUUAAGGGGACGGAGACUUGUUACGGUGCUUAAGUAUUAGGAUUAGGAUUAGGGGCAGGGUUAGGGUUCCCUUCUUGCCAGGGAACUCUGGGAAUUGUAGCUCUAGUUAAGGCUUAAGGGUUAGCGUUAGGGUUAGAGUUAGGGUUAGCGUCAGGGGUAGGGGUGGGGGUGGGGGUAGGGGUAGCGGUAGAGGUAGGGUUCCCUUCUUGGCAGGGAACAGGGGGUCCCCUAACAACUCUCGGCACCCUUUUCCAACUAUAGCUCCCAGAGUCUUUGGGGGUGUUUAAGCCAUGAGUGUUUAAAGCGGCUUCAUAGUGCGUUAAAGGGUGUGGAUGUGGCCGUGGCCUCCCUCACCCCAUUGCCUCUUAUUAAUGAAGAAUCGAAAGGAUUUCCCAAUUCAAAUCUCUCGGAAACAGGAAACAGAAAGAAGAAAGACUUUGUAUCUCAAGCUAUUUUGGAAGGUCUUAACUUGAAAUGCCAAUAAAGGUAUUUUUAUUGUA